UAAGACGAACCACCCAAACGUUAUUCGGAAUUACUGGGCUUAAAGGGUGCGUAGGCGGCGCGGAAAGUUGGAUGUGAAAUCCCUCGGCUCAACCGAGGAACUGCGUUCAAAACUACCGUGCUUGAGGAAUACAGAGGUAAGCGGAACUUCGGGUGGAGCGGUGAAAUGCGUUGAUAUCCGAAGGAACACCGGUGGCGAAAGCGGCUUACUGGGUAUUUUCUGACGCUGAUGCACGAAAGCCAGGGGAGCAAACGGG
rnacentral:rRNA from 1 species